GGAAGAAUGGAAAAUAAACCCUAGAUAGGAUGAAAAGGAGCAUAAGCAUCCAAGAGAUAUUCUCCAAGGAAUGAAAAUUAGGUUUGGCCGCCCUCUUCUGUCAAAAGAAUGAAUCUCAAAUCGCAAUAGUGCUAUUUAUAGCUGAGGAGCGUUACAGAAAACAAGCCUAAGCCCAGCAGACAACCGCCCGAUGCCACACUUAUGCCGCCCGGCGGUUUGCCUCUUACCGCAAAACCGCCUAGCGUCCACGCCUG
rnacentral:lncRNA from 1 species